AUGACGGCUUUUUUGAAAGCCAUCAGUUGAAAAUAAAAUAUGGAGU
rfam:TPA: Bos taurus chromosome 9, whole genome shotgun sequence.